AAAUUAUUUCAGGAGAAUUCAGUUGGACAGUCACCCUCGAUUUAUCUUUAUUCCGGCAAGCUGAAUUCUUUUCGCUGCUUGCCACCCGGCGGGCAGCAAUCCUCUC
rnacentral:ncRNA from 1 species